rnacentral:rRNA from 1 species
AGUGAACGUUGGCGGCGUGGAUUAGGCAUGCAAGUCGAGCGAUCGUAGCAAUACGGGAGCGGCAAACGGGGGUAGGAAUACAUCGGAACGUACCUUUUGGUUGAGAAUAGCGUUGGGAAACUGACGGUAAUACUCAAUAAAGUCGAGAGACCAAAGGUUUAACUGCCGGAAGAGCGGCCGAUGCGAUAUUAGGUAGUUGGUGGGGUAAUGGCCUACCAAGCCUGAGAUGUCUAGGGGGUGUGAGAGCAUGGCCCCCACCACUGGGACUGAGAUACUGCCCAGACACCUACGGGUGGCUGCAGUCGAGGAUCUUCGUCAAUGGGCGAAAGCCUGAACGAGCGACGCCGCGUGCGGGAUGAAGGCCCUUGGGUUGUAAACCGCUGUCAGGGGGAUGAAACCGUAAGGUUGACAGAGCCCCAGAGGAAGCACGGGCUAAGUUCGUGCCAGCAGCCGCGGUAAU